rnacentral:rRNA from 1 species
GUUGUAUGGUUAAGUGACUAAGCGUACACGGUGGAUGCCUUGGCAGUCAGAGGCGAUGAAAGACGUAGUAACUUGCGAUAAGCCCAGAUUAGGUAGUAACAACCAUUUGAGUCUGGGAUUUCUGAAUGGGGAAACCCACUUACAUAAGUAAGUAUCAUUAACUGAAUACAUAGGUUAAUGAGGCGAACCGGGGGAACUGAAACAUCUAAGUACCCCGAGGAAAAGAAAUCAACCGAGAUUCCGAAAGUAGCGGCGAGCGAAAUUGGACUAGCCCUUAAGCUUUACACGCGUUAGACGAACGGUCUGGAAAGUCCGACGAUACAGGGUGAUAGUCCCGUAGUUGACGACGUGUGUUCAGUGAAAUCGAGUAGGGCGGGACACGUGAUAUCCUGUCUGAAUAUGGGGGGACCAUCCUCCAAGGCUAAAUACUACUGACUGACCGAUAGUGAACCAGUACCGUGAGGGAAAGGCGAAAAGAACCCCUGUGAGGGGAGUGAAAUAGAACCUGAAACCGUGUACGUACAAGCAGUAGGAGCAGGCUUUGUCCUGUGACUGCGUACCUUUUGUAUAAUGGGUCAGCGACUUAUAUUCAGUGGCAAGGUUAACCAUCUAGGGGAGCCGUAGGGAAACCGAGUCUUAACUGGGCGUUCAGUCUCUGGAUAUAGACCCGAAACCAGGUGAUCUAGCCAUGGGCAGGUUGAAGGUUGAGUAACAUCAACUGGAGGACCGAACCGACUAAUGUUGAAAAAUUAGCGGAUGACUUGUGGCUAGGGGUGAAAGGCCAAUCAAACCUGGAGAUAGCUGGUUCUCCCCGAAAGCUAUUUAGGUAGCGCCUCGGACGAAUACUACUGGGGGUAGAGCACUGUUAAGGCUAGGGGGUCAUCCCGACUUACCAACCCUUUGCAAACUCCGAAUACCAGUAAGUACUAUCCGGGAGACACACGGCGGGUGCUAACGUCCGUCGUGGAGAGGGAAACAACCCAGACCGCCAGCUAAGGUCCCAAAUUACUACUAAGUGGGAAACGAUGUGGGAAGGCUCAGACAGCCAGGAUGUUGGCUUAGAAGCAGCCAUCAUUUAAAGAAAGCGUAAUAGCUCACUGGUCGAGUCGGCCUGCGCGGAAGAUGUAACGGGGCUAAGUAGUAAACCGAAGCUGCGGCAAUAUACUUUUGUAUAUUGGGUAGGGGAGCGUUCUGUAAGCGGUUGAAGGUGUGUGGUAACGCAUGCUGGACGUAUCAGAAGUGCGAAUGCUGACAUGAGUAACGAUAAAGGGGGUGAAAAACCUCCUCGCCGGAAGACCAAGGGUUCCUGUCCAACGUUAAUCGGGGCAGGGUAAGUCGACCCCUAAGGCGAGGCCGAAAGGCGUAGUCGAUGGGAAACGGGUUAAUAUUCCCGUACUUCUUACAAUUGCGAUGGGGGGACGGAGAAGGCUAGGUGGGCCUGGCGACGGUUGUCCAGGUUCAAGUGCGUAGGCUUAAGAGUUAGGUAAAUCCGGCUCUUUUUAAGGCUGAGACACGACGUCGAGCACCUACGGGUGUGAAGUCAUUGAUGCCAUGCUUCCAGGAAAAGCCUCUAAGCUUCAGAUUGUAAGGAAUCGUACCCCAAACCGACACAGGUGGUCGGGUAGAGAAUACCAAGGCGCUUGAGAGAACUCGGGUGAAGGAACUAGGCAAAAUGGUACCGUAACUUCGGGAGAAGGUACGCUCUUGAUGGUGAAGUCCCUCGCGGAUGGAGCUGACGAGAGUCGCAGAUACCAGGUGGCUGCAACUGUUUAUUAAAAACACAGCACUGUGCAAAAUCGUAAGAUGACGUAUACGGUGUGACGCCUGCCCGGUGCCGGAAGGUUAAUUGAUGGGGUUAGACUUCGGUCGAAGCUCUUGAUCGAAGCCCCGGUAAACGGCGGCCGUAACUAUAACGGUCCUAAGGUAGCGAAAUUCCUUGUCGGGUAAGUUCCGACCUGCACGAAUGGCGUAAUGAUGGCCACGCUGUCUCCACCCGAGACUCAGUGAAAUUGAAAUCGCUGUGAAGAUGCAGUGUACCCGCGGCUAGACGGAAAGACCCCGUGAACCUUUACUACAGCUUGGCACUGAACAUUGACCCUACAUGUGUAGGAUAGGUGGGAGGCUUUGAAGCAAGUACGCCAGUAUUUGUGGAGCCGUCCUUGAAAUACCACCCUUGUAGUGUUGAUGUUCUAACGUCGACCCCUUAUCGGGGUUGCGGACAGUGCCUGGUGGGUAGUUUGACUGGGGCGGUCUCCUCCCAAAGAGUAACGGAGGAGCACGAAGGUGGGCUAAUCACGGUUGGACAUCGUGAGGUUAGUGCAAUGGCAUAAGCCCGCUUGACUGCGAGAAUGACAAUUCGAGCAGGUGCGAAAGCAGGUCAUAGUGAUCCGGUGGUUCUGAAUGGAAGGGCCAUCGCUCAACGGAUAAAAGGUACUCCGGGGAUAACAGGCUGAUACCGCCCAAGAGUUCAUAUCGACGGCGGUGUUUGGCACCUCGAUGUCGGCUCAUCACAUCCUGGGGCUGAAGUCGGUCCCAAGGGUAUGGCUGUUCGCCAUUUAAAGUGGUACGCGAGCUGGGUUUAGAACGUCGUGAGACAGUUCGGUCCCUAUCUGCCGUGGGCGUUGGAAGAUUGAAGGGGGCUGCUCCUAGUACGAGAGGACCGGAGUGGACGAACCUCUGGUGUUCGGGUUGUGUCGCCAGACGCAUUGCCCGGUAGCUAAGUUCGGAAUCGAUAACCGCUGAAAGCAUCUAAGCGGGAAGCGAGCCCUGAGAUGAGUCUUCCCUGAUACUUUAAGUAUCCUAAAGGGUUGUCGGAGACUACGACGUUGAUAGGUCAGGUGUGUAAGUGCUGUGAGGCAUUGAGCUAACUGAUACUAAUUGCCCGUGAGGCUUAACCAUACAACACCCAAGGGGUUU